UAAACCAUUUUACAUUACAUUUCAAGGAGUUGUUAACAGUCCUUCAAAGAAAUUAUGUUACUGAGAAGCACCAAUGGCCUGUCCAAGCCUCAGAAGCCCAAGCUGGAACUGAUCAUCGAGGAGAGCAAAGAUGGAGGCCAAACAUCACUCUUAAGAUCAUCAAAACAGAGAAGGAGAGAAUGAAAGCAAGAAGCAAGAAGAUCUCUGAAGCAUCUCUGGAGGCUGCAAGCAGUUCUUUCUCUGGCCUCUCCGGCAGUGGCGAUGAACAGGAGAGAAAGAGGAAGGAUAUGAGCUGGGCGCAGGUGGACCUUGCAUACCCCCUGGAGGAGUAUUGGUGUGACUCAUGCUUAAGACACCCUCAUGAUUAUACGGAUGGCCACCAAAUUCCUGAGAAGAAAUCAGCUAAAGGGGAGGAGGAGGAAAAGAACAUGACAAGAAACAUGGAGACCUGGGCCAGUGAUGCCAGUGAUGAUGAAGAGCAGAGAAAGAGGAAGGAGAUGAGCGGGGCGGAGCAGGUGGACCUUGCAUACCCCCUGGAGGAGUGUGAGUUCAGAACGCAGAUUGAGGAAGGACUGGAUCUAAUAUGAGUAUAGCUAAGUUUCAGAUGUACUGGUGAUGUGUAAAGUUGUUUAUAGAAUAUGUAAAUGAGUAGGAAAGAUGCCCAUUUGUUUCAGGAAUGUGCCAGCAAAAUUUUUACAUACAGUAUACUGUCUACAGUUAAACGUACCAAGUGCUAUAUUGUGACUAAUUCCUGUGAGCUAUCUUGUAUUUCACAGAUUGGUGUGACUCAUGCUUAAGACAUCCACAUGAUUAUACAGAUGGCCACCAAACUCCUGAGAAAAAAUCACUUAAAGGGGAGGAAGAGGAGAAGGUGUCCAUGGAUGACGCCCAGGUCCACUGAAACACAUUUUACUUCAGUGAGCGAACAAUGAGAUCUUCUGCUUCAUAGGAUCAUGUUUUGAAAAUGAUUGGGUAAUCUAAAUUGUUUACCAGAAUUUGUGAUUAGGAGGCUAAAUGCAACCUUUACUCAUCAUAGACACAGUGUACUGAUUAUAUCUGGCUACAGCUGAUGUCUUAAUUUCCUACAUCAUGUGAAUGUUACAGAGUGGCUGGACUCCAGGCCACCAGGGUGGCUCCACAAGGCCCAGGAGGACAUGUGCCUCAGAACAGAUUCAUAUCAUAUCAAGUCUGAUGCAUAUCGGUGAGUGCAAAAUAUUCUUUUUUUCUGGUGUUUUGUGAAGACCUAAAUAAAUAAUUGACUUUGAAAUGAAACUGAAGAAUG
rnacentral:lncRNA from 1 species